rnacentral:rRNA from 1 species
CCUACGGGAGGCAGCAGUGAGGAAUAUUGGUCAAUGGGCGCGAGCCUGAACCAGCCAAGUAGCGUGAAGGAUGACUGCCCUAUGGGUUGUAAACUUCUUUUAUAUGGGAAUAAAGUGCAGUAUGUAUACUGCUUUGCAUGUACCUUAUGAAUAAGGAUCGGCUAACUCCGUGCCAGCAGCCGCGGUAAUACGGAGGAUCCGAGCGUUAUCCGGAUUUAUUGGGUUUAAAGGGAGCGUAGGCGGGUUGUUAAGUCAGUUGUGAAAGUUUGCGGCUCAACCGUAAAAUUGCAGUUGAUACUGGCAGCCUUGAGUACAGUAGAGGUAGGCGGAAUUCGUGGUGUAGCGGUGAAAUGCUUAGAUAUCACGAAGAACUCCGAUUGCGAAGGCAGCCUGCUGGACUGUAACUGACGCUGAUGCUCGAAAGUGUGGGUAUCAAACAGGAUUAGAUACCCUAGUAGUC